AGAGUUUGAUUAUGGCUCAGGAUGAACGCUAGCUACGGGCUUAACACAUGCAAGUCGGAGGGGAAACGACAUCGAAAGCUUGUCUUUUGAUGGGCGUCGACCGGCGCACGGGUGAGUAACGCGUAUCCAACCUGCCCACCACUUGGGGAUAACCUUGCGAAAGUAAGACUAAUACCCAAUGAUAUCUCUAGAAGACAUCUGAAAGAGAUUAAAGAUUUAUCGGUGAUGGAUGGGGAUGCGUCUGAUUAGCUUGUUGGCGGGGUAACGGCCCACCAAGGCAACGAUCAGUAGGGGUUCUGAGAGGAAGGUCCCCCACAUUGGAACUGAGACACGGUCCAAACUCCUACGGGAGGCAGCA
rnacentral:rRNA from 1 species